rnacentral:rRNA from 1 species
AACGAACGCUGGCGGCAGGCCUAACACAUGCAAGUCGAGCGCCCCGCAAGGGGAGCGGCGGACGGGUGAGUAACGCGUGGGAACGUGCCCCUUUCUACGGAAUAGCCUCGGGAAACUGGGAGUAAUACCGUAUAAGCCCUACGGGGGAAAGAUUUAUCGGGAAGGGAUCGGCCCGCGUUGGAUUAGGUAGUUGGUGGGGUAAUGGCCUACCAAGCCGACGAUCCAUAGCUGGUUUGAGAGGAUGAUCAGCCACACUGGGACUGAGACACGGCCCAGACUCCUACGGGAGGCAGCAGUGGGGAAUUUUAGACAAUGGGCGCAAGCCUGAUCUAGCCAUGCCGCGUGAGCGAUGAAGGCCUUAGGGUUGUAAAGCUCUUUCAGGGGGGAAGAUAAUGACUGUACCCCCAGAAGAAGCCCCGGCUAACUCCGUGCCAGCAGCCGCAGUAAUAC